CACCAGCAUUGAUACUCCAUCACUUAUGUACUGCAUCAAGCCGUCCUCAGAGGUGAGGAAGGUGCUGUCAAGACUAGAAGCAUGUGUCCCUCUCUCCAUUGCAAGAUGGGACAUAGAGAGGAGAAAAGUGGCAGACAGAAGGCUAAUCUCAACUGGAAACCAGAAGGCUAGAAAUCUUACUGAUGUGAUGUCCAGGGAUACAGAGCAUAUGAAGGAUGCAGAGAGUGGGUCAAAUGGAAGGAAUGUAGCAAAACAUGUAAACUUGAGUAAGUAUUUGAUCUCUUUGAGCCUAUGUUUUUCAAUAUUUGGAUUCCAACAGCCAGCUCAGUGCUGACAGAGUCAGCAAGUUCUUGUUGAGUGGGAUUGUGUCCAUAAAAUAAUGUAUAUAAAAUAGACAAGCUCUAUAGCUCCUUUCAAUUAUGACCUUCUCUGAUUACUAUUUUGUUGAUUGUCCUCAAAUAUUAUUAAAUAAUCAUGCCCUGACCAUAAUAAAGAAGACUUCAUCAUUGCUGAGGAUGAAUUUCACACCCCAGUCUUUAACUCUAUGCUCUGCUAUCUCUUCCAUCUAAAAAUACAAAAACUGAUUGUUCAG
ensembl:lncRNA LINC02432 long intergenic non-protein coding RNA 2432